rnacentral:piRNA from 1 species
UCGUAGAUGUGGACAUUUCUUGAGCUUC